GGGGGAUUGGGUGGGUUUGUUUUGUUUGUUUGUGUUUGUUUUGUCUGGAGAUGGAUUCUCCUGCCUCAGCAUCCCUAGUGCUGUGGUGCUGGGCAUGUGCACCACAUUCAGCUCUCUGUCUUUGCUAUUGUGGCUCACCCAGCAUGAACCUCAAUCCUCAGCAUGGUGUAACCGACUCAGAAGACUUGGAAUUCCACAGAGUGCAGCAUCCUUCCUGAUGUGAAGGGACAUCCUUUCAUCUAUGAAUUUGUUUUUAAUGUUUUGGAUUCCCUGCCUUAGGGACCAUUUACCCCAUUUCCACAGGCUUUGUCUUGACACACCCAUCCGUCCACAUCUCUCUUGACAUCUCUUUGUGUUUACUAGAUUCCUAACCUGUCCUCUGUUAGCAGUGCCUGUCGGCCAGGCCUGCCGCUCCUUACCGUUGCCACUGUAUUUAUAAAUGGUAUACAACGUUGGUGCCCGUCCUAGCUUUAACUGUCAACUUGACACAGCUCAGAGUCACCUGAGAGAGGACUCUUAAUUGAAAGAUUGCAUCAGCAUGUGGGCAAGUCUCUGGGGAAUGGUAUUGGUUUUAAACUGAUGUAGGAGGGCCAAGCUGGUUGUGGGUAACAGGAUUCCCUGGACAGGUAGUCUGUGUGAGAAGCUAAGUCUAAGUCUGCAAGCCUCCGUGGUUUCUGCUUCAGGAUCCUGCAGCAAUGGGCUGUGUGGCCUGGGAUUGUGAGCCAUACCCUUUCAUCCCCUAAGUUGCUUUGGUCUCAGCAACAGGAUGAAACCGGAACAGUCUGGAUUCUCACUCCGUUCCCUUAGGACUGUUUGCUUUUUAUUUAUUUUAACUAACUCGAUUUAAGUGUCUGUUGUAAAUUUAAGGAAUACAGGACCUGGCACAUACGAGCUGAGAUUUCUACCACUCAACUACAUCUCUAACCCUAAUGAAGUGACUGGGUUAAACUGAUACAAUAUAACCCCUCCCUUUCCUGUCUUCAGACUCAACCUUCGCCUCUCACCCCAGGGCCCAGUGGUAGUAAACUAGCUUUUUAUGUUAAUACCACCAGAUCCGAAUCCCUUUAUAACUCUGUGCUUUGCAUAAAGAUCAUUUAACAACUGUACCGCUGCCCUGGUGUGAGUCAGGAUGGGCAGGAAAGGCUGCAGCAGUGUGCAACCUCUGACCCGGGACGCUUAACUUAGAACAGCACCCCCAGUGGGUGCUACCCAUGGGAGAACGUUCUGCUUCACGGUGUUCCCAGAGUCCUGUGUGAAAGGAAGACACCAUUAUUAGCUACACGCUCCCUACAGUGAGUGGGAAUUGUGAUAAAUUGACUGCCAUGACUCAUGACUUUCGGUCGGAUGGGACCCCUGUCAUUUCUGCUUGGUUUUCAUUGGCCAGUGUUGAGCCCAUGGAGACAGCUUCAAAGGCAGUAGAAGCAAAUACUGUGUGCCCAGAGGAGGAAAACUGGGCUGUUCCCAGGCAGAUGGUUUUAAUGUCCACACUGCCGAUGGUCUUCAAUGCAGAGCUCGUGACUCACUGUUGGUUCCGGCAUUCCAUCUCUAUCUUCUGGGUGUGAGAGCCCUUGGGGGAGAAGGGACGGGGCGCACACAGCAACUGGCAACAUCAUGUCCCUGUCCCAUGGUCACUGUGUCACAAGGUCACUGUGCCAGAGACACUGCCACCCACGACCACCUCACGCUUGAAAAACCUUACAAUUCCAAAACCAAAGUAAAGAGAGGUUCAACCUAUCCAGUGUCCUGCUGGUGACCAGGGGCUCAGAACGGAAAGCAUUCCAGGUCUUCCUCACGGUCACCCUGGAUGGAGCACAGUCUGUGCCACACUGGGUUUCGACUCCGCUACUUUGUGUUCUGCUGCGGCACUCAUACACUCAACAGCUUUUCUCUUUUCCUCCCUUCCUUCCUUUCAUGUUUUGAUAUCAGGUCUCCUGUAGCACAUGCCGUCUGCAGACUCACAGCACAUUUCUGUUGUGCUUGAGGGUGGAGCCUUAGGCCUUCUCCGUGCCUACUGUGAACACUCUAGCAACUGCGCCAUAUCUCCACGCACUCGUAUCUCAUCUGUUGGCUUUGGAGGAGCAUGACCUCACUCGGGGAAUAAAGCCCUAAGUAAACAUGGCCGAGUCCCGGUGACCCACUAGUGUCUUACAUGUGUGGGACUCCCCCUUGACUACGUAUAACUGAAAAGGCAAAAUAAUAAUGAUUCUGGCAGUUACAGCUGGAUGGACUUGUGUGGUGUGACUCAUUAAAACUGUGUGAUCUUACGCCCUGGGACAUCUCUCCCCCUUCUUCUUUUUUUUUUUUUUUUUUUUUUCUUCCUUUAUUGGCGCAGGGUUUUUCUGUGUAUCCCUGGCUAUCCUGAAACUCGUUCUGUAGACCAAGCUGGGCCCUGGAACUCAGAGAUUCACUUGCCUCUGUCUCCCUAGUGCUGGGAUUAGAGGCAUGUGCUACCACUGCCUUGGCGACGUUUCUCUUUUUCUAUGAGGUCACAAGAUUCACACGGCCACCUUAGUUAAUGAAAAAUUCACAAGAAUCUGAAGUCUUUCAGGCUCUCCCACUGAAGGGAAGGAAGUGUGUUAUGGGCCGCUGGCUGCAAAUGGUGGUUGCCUUUAGAUGCAAACAGGGUGAGUUUUGAUGCUUGGUCUGCAUCGGGCUCCCCCUCCCCCUCCCCCUUGUACAGAGUGGGUGGUAGAGCUGGGGUCCUGCGUUCUGGGCCGUGAGUCAAGGAACAGCGCUUGAGUAGAGGACAGAGACCACAGUAAGCCUGCUUGUCUGCUGUGCGCCUGAGAGGAAGGAAAGCAUCAUUGAGUGGGGCAGGAAGUGCCAAGGCCCUGAGGUAGGGACAUGCUCGACAAAUCAAAGAGGCAGGAAGGAGGUCAAGGACCAAGCUUCUGCUCUACCCCACCACUCUUCACAGCUGUCCAGUCUGAGCCUCCAAGUUCCGGUGAGAAGCAAUUACGGACAUAACUGGUUUGCCCUCCAUGGGAGGAGUGCUCUCUGCUUUGUAACUCGGUGAGGAUGAGGGGUGCUAGAGGAGGAAAGUCAAUCCUAAGCAGAAAAUAGGAGACAUUUCCUGGGAGGGUUUUUCUUUGGAAGUGGGUCUCUCUUGUGGCUGAGGGCAGGCCACAGAUGGACUCUGGCCUUUGAGUAGACAAUGUGUUCCUUCCUCGGCAAAGCAUACGUGUGGCAUCUGGAUCCUGUAUACAGGUGGAGGGCCAGGCAUCGGUGAGAUCCUGGGACGGGCUUUCUCUGCUCUUCUGCUUGGUAAAGGGUUCGGUUACAUUGACCCAGCACUGCUGGGUCAGAGACUGUGUAAGGCAGGAGCUGUCUGCCCCUCACCAAGGACAGCGUAGGAACUCGGGUCCCUCUAGGGCUGACCUGCUGAGCCUGAGCUUCAGCCUUGGUGCCUCAGGUACUGUGAGUGGCUAGCCGGGUCUUUGUGGCAGGAUGCCACGUGUGAGCCCGUCACUGCGGAUCUCUUGAUGUCCUUGAGAGGAAAGGAGCUGGACCCAGGCUAAUGGGAUCUGAUGCUGAUGGAGCCACACCCCGAUGCUGCCAAUGUUCAGAUGACCAGGCUGCAUUCUUGUUACCUCCGGAUGCAGAUGUCACCAGUUUAGUCAUCUGUCCCAUUUCUGGAAAGGUCCAUAAUGCCUGAAGAAGGAGAAACCCCUUCGUAGUGAAUGCUGAACACACACAUGCUCCCUCAAGUCAGGAGGAAGUGAGGCUUCCCCUGCCAGCUUCUCUCCACCCCCCACCCUAUCCCCCUUGCUUGAUUCUGCAAACCUGAGACCUACCCCAGAGCUGUGGCACUGCAGUGGGUGAGCAGAGAUUUAAGUGGCUGAUGCCAUUGUUCCCUCUUCACAAACCUCUUGUUUUUAUAAGAAUAAACUUACUCGGCCCUUUUGCUCCCGGGAAGGGGAAAACUUCAGAAGGGUCUGUUCUUGAUGUCAGUGGGGACAGAACCAUCUCCCGGGUACACACCCAGCUACAGGCUUGCUAUGCGUGACUCCUGGGUGAAACCCAUCGCUUUAUUUCGCCUCCACCACUGGUCCUUGGGUGGUCCUUGCCCAAGUCAUCCAUCACUGGCUCUCUGUCCCCUGUCCUGCCCUCUCAGCCAGGCCUGGGCAGAGUCUGGCCUUGCUGUUGGUCACGUGCGGGGUUCGCUGCCAUGGCUUCUCCAGGCCCACGGAGGGCAGCCUCGUGGAUGCUCCUGGGCUUUCCAGGAUCAGCUUAGAGUUGUUCCUGCCUGCAGCAGCUUGCUGGCCGGUGGCCAGGGUUUUGUUUACUGCUCUCAGAGCAGACAUUCUCCUUCCUCCCGCCUGGGCCAUUUUCUGAAGACAUUAAGCUCUUGGCUCACUGUCCUCGCCUCCUGCUUCCGGCUGCGCUGCCUGGCACAACCACGUCCUGUCAAGUGGCUGAGCCAGCUCUGAGUUCCUCUGUCCUCCCAGCAUAGCGGGGGCCCACGGCAAGGCCCGCUUCGGGUCCUCUGGCCAGGGCCCUUUCCCUUUAUGUUGCUCUCCUCCUGAGAGUUAUUAAAAUGGGUACAUUCCCCAAGGUUUUGAAGACAGGGUAGGCACAUUGUAGCUUCUCCCUGGCAGUCAAAAGUUCAAAUAAUGACUUGAGUGUGAGUCCAGUGUGUGUCUGCCAUCUUGUGUGGAGUCAGCUGGUGCCUGGGUUUGCCUUCCACAGUCUAAGUCCCAGCCUCUUCUGGAAGUGAACUUAACCCCCAGGCACCCCAGGCAGGCCAGCGAAAGACAAGGGCAGCUGACAAGGACUUUAGACUUCUUGCCUGGCAUUCUCCUAGGACAGGACAACAAGCUUCCAGGAUCAGGAGGGGACCCUCUCUUCCUGCUUCACCCUGCUCUGUACUCACAUCCCCAUCGCUCCACAGAAAGUUACCUGGAGGGAGCCAGGCGCCGCUGACAACCAGGCUCAAGCCUGAGUCAAUAGCCACACCUGAGGCAGAGAGUCCGCAGGGAAGCAGCUUCCAGCCAGCUCCCUUCAAGAGCCUCCACUCGUGGAUGUUUAUCCGGUGACUCAGUCAGGAUCCGGGGCCAGAUGGUUAGCUUCUUGACUGUUUAAGGAAAGCUCCCACCCUAAAGGGGCCUCACGCUGCUGCUUCUACUCCGAAGCUCCAGCCUUUCGUUAAAGUGUUUUUACCAGCUAUCUUGGGGGAGGAAAAAAGGAACGUUUCCUUUUUAUUCAAGGACAGGUACAGAUUCGUCAGACUUUUAAUUGCAACAUGGCCCAUACUACAAGUUAAUGAAGAACGAAUGGAAGGAAGCCUAUCAGUCUCUCUGUCUGUCUGUCUCUGUCCAUCUCUCUCUCUGUCUCUGUCUCUCUCUCUGUGUGUGUAUAUGUGUGGUGUGUGUGCAUGCGCAUAUGGUGUGUGUGUGUUUGUUUGUGUGUGUGCGCACGCGCACGUGUGCACUGACGGGUGCACCUAUAGUGGUCAAUUACUAAAGGUUAUUUUUUGAGACAGAAUCUUUUAUUGAACUUGGGGCUCACAAUUCAGCUGGGCUGGUUUGCCAGCAUGCCCCAAGGAUCUGUCUGCAUGUCUCUGCUCCCCCAGUGCUGGGGUGACUGGCAAUAUGACCGCACCCCAUUUUUAUGUGGGUGUUGGUGACUCACUCUUUUAAGAUUUUCCUGAGCGAGCCAUCUCCCUAACCCCCUCUGUAUUGCUUUGUAGACAAUAAAAAACUCCUUUUUAUUUGUAAAAUACCACUCUGUAAAUGAAGGAAGCUAGGAAGAACCAUCUAUAUGGAACUCAGUGAUCAGUGAACUUCUAUAUGGUCAGGGAAGGAUAGAUUAGGGACAUCAACCAUACAGGGACUGAAGGAGAGACACUAGGCGUCAACCCAGGCUGGUGUGUCUUUGGGCAGAAAGAUGUAUCACUAACUUCUCAGGCUAUGUUACCUGCAGACUGAGUUCCCUUAGCCUAUCUUUAAUCAAGAUGGCGUCGUCAGAAAUCAGGCUGCGGCCGCUCCCAAUCUGCCAGUCUCUUCCCCCAGAACCUCACAGAUGCUAGACAGGUACUCCAUCACUAAACCAUCAGCCUAGGCUGGCCUUGAACUCAUGAUCCUCCUGCCUCAGCCUCCGAGGUAGUUGGGCUUUUCUUUAUAUCGCUUGCCAAAGCCUAAUGGAUGAGUAGUGAAAUGAAGGUAAGCAGGGUGAGACAAGGUUCCUUUUGUGGCAAACGCAAACUUUGACCUCUCUCCCACGUAAAUGAACCCCCAGGGACUGAUGCUAGAUUGAUCUGAUGCCUCUGCCAUGAUCACCCAUCCACCCGAGGUAGAGAGGUCUUCUGUCGGAGUCACUGAUUUUAGGAUAAGUGAUGAGCAUUCAAAUGAUCCUAUAAGAAAUCCUGAAGGCCCUUCGCUAAUUGGGUUGCUCUGUGAGAAGGUGGGGGGGGAGGGCAGAAUCAUCCCCUAUAUUCUAAACUUCGGGGUCUCCCCAUCCCAUCACUAUAUACUGCUCCCUGAGAUGCUCCCUCUUGCAGAGAACAGAUCCUGCCGUGCAUCCACCCAUGGCGAUGCCCCAUCAUCCCUACGCAGCCUCUCUGGGAAGCUAGGGCACACACCCGUUCCAGUAGCCCCGAGACUUGCUGUGUGGCCAACAGGCUGUGGAGACAGUGAGAGGGUCCGUGCCAGCUAGGGUUACCCUUUAAUCCAACUUCCUUUUCCACAGGACACUAGGGCCCUGCUCCUCUCUUCGCUGCGGUAGCUAUCAGACCAGCUGUGACAGUCUGUUGACUGUGUCCUGAGGACUAUGCUAGCUCAUCCCAGCUCUCCCUGAUCAGACCUCUGCUUGGCACUGCAGUCUCCAUGACAACCUAUAGCCGUCUCUCUCGUGCUCUCCAUCCCUGGUCUCCCUGCUUCCACCAGGAUGUUCGCCCUGCCCUCGGGAUGACCCUCUGCCUUCAGAGCUGGGCUCUUAUCCGUGCCCUCCUGUCAUGGGCCAGCAUGCUAUAGAGCUGAGCCUAUCUUCUCCAUGGCCUACUAGCCCUCUUGAGACUCCUUAGCAAGGUGUCCUGGGCUAGCUCCCUCAUUAGCACACCCUUCCCCCUUAGAAAUUUCCUUCAUCCCCCAGGCAUUUAAUGGAGUCACCAAGUCACCAACUAGGAUUAUUGCAGGUGAUCCUGAAAUGGUUCUCUGGAAAACCUCCUAACUCAUUCCCAGUGGAAACCCCAGCCCCGCCUCUGGCUCUUAGACUCCUUUGCCGUUUUCCUUCUGUUGAGCAGCUGUCGCUUGCUGAAUAUCCUGGAUGUUUGCCUGGCUACCUUUAUUGCCUCCUUCCUAUCAGAGUUUGACCUGAGUGGUUGGAUAAGCUUUGUUCAUUUCUGUGUGUGUGCACACAGUAGGCGCUCACUGAAUACCGGCCAGCUUCGUGUUACGUUUAUUGGGGGCGUUUAUUUUCCCAGCAGGUAUCACAGUGGGUCGUCUUGGAGUUGGGGAGUCCCAUGGACCCCAGGAUGGCAGGAUAGACAGCUGAUCUGUCUUUCCUCACAGCCUUUAGCUAUUCUCUUCCAUAGAGUCAAACCCUCUGCCGUACAGGACCCCAGGAUGGCAGGAUAGACAGCUGAUCUGUCUUUCCUCGCAGCCUUUAGCUAUUCUCUUCCAUAGAGUCAAACCCUCUGUUAGAGAAUUCAGUUAACUCAGUUCAUGACAUUAUUUUUUUCCCUGUGAUCACUUAAUCCUGCUCAGUCUCAAACUUCGUGUCCAAGCAGACAGGAGUGCUGAGGGAGGGCUGCCCUGGACAUCCUGUUGUUCUUCUGGGGCUCAGUGCUGGGGAGGGGUAUGCUGGGGCCCAGGGAAGGGCUUGGGGCCUCACUGGGAGGUCUGCAGGGCUCUGGCUAUGGUGCAUUCCUCACAGUUUGAUUGCCUCCAGCAGUCAGCUUGGUUGGGGGGUGAGGGGAAUGGAGAGUGUGUGAGUGUGUGUGUGUGUGUGUGUGUGUGUGUGUGUGUGUGUGUGUGUGAAGCUGAGGCUCUGUGUGGACACGUGAUCUCUCAGCUCCCCCAACCAUUGUAAGCUGCAUUCUGGGCUUUCGCAUACUUUCUCUAAUUGAGUGAGUCUGCAAAGGCCAUAGGACAGACAACACACAGGACUUAGACAUGUAACAGACACAUUCCCCAGGCGGGCUGGUAUGUGGUAAACAGGAGGCCACCUUUCCCUAUAUCUCUGUUCUCUCAUUAUGGCAAAUUCAGAUUAUAAUCAACCCCUUCGUGUAUCCACAGGUAAAUACCAGUCAGAAAACAGGGCCUUCUCAUUUCACGUCCCAGGAAAUUCUGAACUUGAUUCUGUUGAGCGUGGGUUACUCCUAGGGUCUUAGGUGUUUGCCCCGCUAGCUUUAUUGAUUCCUUUUCCUAUCAGAAUUUGACCUGAGUGGUUGGCUCAGUUUUGUUCACUCUUGCUUCUGCCCAGAGUAAGCACUCACUGAACACUGCUAGCCUCAUGGGAUGAAACAGUUGGGCGUCUCCUUUCCAGCAGGUUUAACAGUCUUCAGUCUUAGGGCUGGAGACCUCAGAAUGACUCGAGGCCCAUUGCCCAUUGCAGUACAGACCUUUUUCCCCACAAGUUGGAGCUCCAUUGUGUACAUUUUAGACCAAUCUGUUUUUUGGCAUAUGAAGUCAGCUUGCCUUGUAGCAGAUUACCAGUCAUUUCUAUGCCAUUGUACUCUAUAGUUUGAACUUAGGUUUUGUUAUUUAUUCUUUGCUGCCUUUUCUCUUUUCUUCUUCUUUUUAUAUUGUCUCCUUUUUUAUUUUUAUUUAUUUAUUUUCUUUUUGAGACUAGCUGUUAUUUCAUGGCUCAGGCUAGCCUGGAACUUAGUACAUAGCCCAGCCAGCUUCAACUGUCUUAGCCUCCCAAGUGCUGGGAUCUCAGGUACAAGCCAUUACUCCCAGCUUGCCCUUAGUUUUAUAGAGAAUGGACUCUCUGUAACAGUAAAUAAAUGUUUGUUUAAGACAACCCAAGGGGCGGGUGACAUUGUACGAAUCGUGAUCCCAACACCCAAGUCACAGAUGCGUUUAUUAUGUGGACCUCAAAGGAGGAGUAAUCGGAGUAAUCGUGGGAGAGAUGGGUUACAUCCUUAUCACCACAGCGAAACUUCCAUCACCAAAAAAACGUAAGCCCAGUUUCCAACCGGGACAGAGUUUGAUGGUUACUCAGGCAGCGGUGUGACUGCACACCUCGCUUGGCCAGAUCUUUUGUGCUCUUCAAGUACGGAGCCUACUGAGACCCCCUCCAAAACCAGGAGACAAAACAAAAGCCACGCAUCCCUGCACCGUGAGUCCUACGCACACUCCCAAGCGCUGCUGAAGAAGAUGAGAAAAAGAGAGACGGAGGAAGACCUAGGUUUAUGAAUGAGCCGUUCCUUGGGAGGUGGUGGGGGGCGAGAUGGCGGGGGCAUGUCCCCUGCUCAGCUAUCUGUGUCAUGCACCCCUAGAGGGGAGGCCGCAGUCGAGCCUGAGACAGUUCGUAGGGGCGAGGCGUCUGCACUAAUGAGGAACUCAGGGUGAGCCGCACGCACGCACGCACGUACGCACGCACGCACGCACGCACGCACGGCUGGAAGCCACAGACAGCUAGUGUGCCCAUGCGGAGGAAUCUCGCCGGCCUGCAGGCGAUCCUGAAGAAAACACUUUAAUUAAUAUGUAAAACAGCAGUGGGAAGAAAAGCCAGGUUAAUUUCCAAACCACAUCAGUGAGGGCACAUUUGGGUUAGGAAACCUUGGAGACUUAGAGGCAGGCCCCCUUGUUUGAAACCACAGAGGUGCUUUUGUCUGUGUGAGAGCAGCUCCCUAAAAGGCCCUUUUAUCUGCCCCCCACAGUGCAUUCCUUUCUUUGUACUUAAAAACAUCCCCUUGACCGGACCACGGGCUGUUGUCUUUCAUUUGCAAUGUGCCCUCUGUUCUGCUGGGGACUUGUGGGCCAGGGUAAUUUCUCCUCAUUUCUUGCUGCUCGCCCAUCUCUAAGUCAUCUUUUUUCUUGGUGCCUGUAGGCUUUUGUUUCCACACACACCCCCUCCCCCCAAUUCUCCUGCCCGUGUUUAGCCUGAGCCUUCAGCUUACCUCUGGGCAGGGGUCCAGAAUGACUUGAGCUGAAGGCAUGAAACGCAUACAGUGCCCCAUACCGGUGACUUCCUGAGAGCCUGGAGUCCUCAGAUUCAAAUGGAGGACCCAGACAGACAAACCAGGCUUUCUCACUCUGGCCUGAGAACCACUACACUGUGCUGGGAAUGAGUUCCUCCAAAAGUAUGCCUUCCUGUGGGAGUUUCCUGGCUCCUUCUCGGGCAGCACGUUUGAGAUCCCGACAUGCAGAAUAGACUGCGCUCAUCUCCACCCGUCUCCGUUGCUUCUCUCAAAUCCCUGGUACCUACCAGCUCACCCAUUCUCUCGAAGCCCUAAGAAAGGCAGGAAACUCCCCAGGUCACACAUUCCUGGGAGAAUCACACAUCCUGGGGGAUUUCUGGGGUGGACUGCUAACCUGGCAUAUUUAAGGCCUUGCAAAUGGUUCGACAGAUAUGCAGACGUCUUCACACUUUUUCAGAGGUUUCUAUCCAGGAACUGUCUGUCCCUCAGAUCCAUUUUACUCUGACCCCUAUGCCAUAGCUUGUUGGCCACUGGUUCCGGCCCAGAGAGAAGCUGUGAGCUCCUAGUUGCUAGCUCCUGUCUUCUCUAUUGUGGUGGCCAGAGAUGUCCCCCCAUCUAUCCCUAAAGCCCUAGUAACUUUAGAAAUUGCAAACACUGGUGUGGAGAUCAGAUCUCUUUGAGCUCUGCAUCUCUUGCUGACUUGAGUGCACCUUCCGAACCCUUUCCACCCACUUUCCGAUGCAUUUGAAAGUGAAGCAGGCAUUUAAGGACCGUCCAUCAAAGCAGCUCCCAUCAAAUGCUUGCAUUCUUGUGGUGGGAGAAUUGGGGCCCCUGGUGUGUGCGUUCCUGCUGAGAAGGCUCUCACCAUCUACCCUUGUCGAUGGUCUGUACCCAAGCUUCACUUUGGUCUCAGUCUCCAGGAUGACGUGACAUCAAAACUUGCCUCCUCUGGUGCACGCUUCUACUGAUAUGGAAGGAAGGUGAGCGCAGCAAGUGUGGGGUGGGUAUGCUCAAAGAACUUCAUAUACUCACGGGGCUACGUAAUCCAGUCCAAUAAAAUCAAUAGAAUAUAGAGUUUGAUAAACAAAAGAGAACAUUCCUUGCUCUCUUAACUGGUCAUUGCAGUUCUCCCAGAGUUCUCCGCUCCAGGACUCCUCAGAACUCCGUUAGAGAGCACUCCUGCAGAGGCUUAUACUGAGGCCUUAGGGUGGGGGUGUCUGGGGAGGACGUCCUCCAUUUCCAGCAUCCUUUGUUGCUUCCCCAGACGUUCGAGGGCUCAGCAACCCGGAGGCCGUGACAACCACAGCUCCUGUUCAAAGGUCUGUGCUAACAGAGAUUCUUCAAUUUUUUUUUUAAUGGAAAGCUUCAAUGAAGCUAGUGAAGUCAAUGAUGAACUGUACAGAUCAGGAGACCAAAGAUUUGUAAGGCUUCCUCUUGGACAACAUGGUGGAUACAGGACGCAUGGAGCCGGGAAGGGUUCAUCCGGGGACGGCAGUGUCCAACUUACCUGUACUUCCGUGCCUCACCCACAGGGUGCAGGUUCCCGUUUCCUCAGACCUAACCUGGACUUCUCCACCAAGAAACUCUGUGAACGUGAAGUCGUCGACGUUUUUCUAAAGGGGAUUACUUUUAAAUUCUCUCUCCCUCUAACACGCAGUGAGAUUUUGGCAGCUAGAAAAGACUCAUUCCCUAGCUAUCACCAUGGGUGAUUUUCCCAAACUACUGCUUUGGGCCAGGGGCCAUCACCCAGUCUACAGCCCCUGUGAGCACAGAGGAGGCCUCAGGCAAUCCUGCCUGAAGCACCUCUGGGUUUUGGCAUUAAAUUCAUGCUUGAAUUUGAGUAAAGAGCUUUUCUGUUUUCCUUAGGAGCAGCCAGCAAUCAUCUAAGCUAGGGAGAAAGGAUCCAUUCACCCCAUCUGCCCCAUACUGCUUUCUGUAUCUGGGAUGGGUCACUGCCUUAGCAAGCAGGCGACUUUGCCUGAAGAUUAAAACCCUGUGCUCCGAGUCUUAGGGAGCUCCUGUGUCUGAGGGGGAACUCAUUCAUACCCCUUAAUGCAGACAUCCAGGAUGCUCGCGCUAAGGGUUUAUUAAAGCUUAAUGCAAUCACAGUCUUUCUGGCUCUAUGUGAUCUCCCUCCAUUAGUAGCUUGCUGCCUGCAUCUUGCCCACAGCCAAGUGUGUCAACCCAACGAAUCAGGGAAGCAAUGCUCUGACUUGAGCAAUUAAAUCAGAGCAGACACUUGAGAGUGAAAGCCGAGGCAAACACAGGCUCUCCUUUCUGCUUGGGAACAGCUAGAUCUUCAACACUGGGUCUGUGAACAAAGCCAGCUGAUGCUGGAUCUGCUCCCGGGGCAGGUGAAGCCUAAGCUGACGGGCACAGCCCAUCCUGGCCAUCCUCUCUCUCCCUUGUUUAUCAGGUGGGUCUGACCUGGGAGGGUCUCGGAGGAAUGCCUGGGUGAGGACCAAAGGAAAAUCUGGGGGACAGAGGACAUCUGGUGGAUUGAGUCUAUUAAUGGCCAUUGUGCAAAGUGAGUUAAAGCCUACCUGAAAAGGUGGGAGUGGAGUACAUUCCUGUCUGUGCUUUGAUCACCAACAGAACAUCUGUCUGUCUGCCUGUCUGUUUGUCUGUCUGUCUCUCUGAGACAGGGUCUUUCCACAUAGCCAUGGCUGUCCUGGAAUUUACUAUGUAUACCAGAUUGGCCUCAAACUCACAGAGAUCCACCUGCCUCUGCCCCACCCCCCCAAGGUGUGCACCGCUAUAUUCAACUUUCCCUCUCUCUUUCUCUCUCUUUUUCUCUCACUCUUUCUCUUUCCUUUUUCUCAUUCUUUCUUUCUCUUUUUCUUUAUCUUUCUCUCCUCCCUCUCUCUCUCCCUCUCCCUCUCCUCCUCCCCCCACUCUGGAAUAAGGUGAGCUCCCUUUCUUUUUCCUGAUGACCACAUGGUUCCACAUUUUGAAGCACCUACAAAACGACUUGGGUGUGGUCAGACUCAGGCUGGAGGAAUCAGGAUCGCCAUCCAGCAAUGUAGGACUAUGGAGCUGGGGGCGUGGCUCUGCUGGUAACGCACCUGCCAUACCCACAAAGUCCUGGGCUCAGUCUCCAGCAUCCAUGUGUAAAAAUCUGGGCACAGCAGCAUGAGUUUACAGUCCUAGUGCAGAGAAAGUGCACACAGGUGGUUGCCUGGAACACAACGUCCAACUAGCCUUAUCGAAUUGGGAGUUCCAGGCUCACUGAGAAACCGUCUCAAAGGUGAGGUGCACAAGCGGGUGAGGCACUUGCCGCCAAGUCUAAUGACCUGACUUCAAGCUUUAGGACCCGAAUGGUGGAAGGAGAGAAUCUAAUCCCACAACGUGUCUCCCUGAUCACUAUACAUGAAUUCCUCCCGUGCAAAACAAGUGAAUAGAUAAAAAGAACUACAAGGACCCGAGUGGAUCUGAAAGGCCGCUCGCAAGACCACAGGUGGAUGGAUAGUCUAGUGUUCCCUGUGUCCACAGUUCAGCAUCCGGAGAGAAGCUGAGAAGCGCAGGCCCUCUGGUAAGCUCUGGAGGGUUCCAUUCACAAACUGCUUGGAUUUAGGCUAUAGUCUGUGUCCGAGGCCCAGUCUGACAGGGACCAGAGAUGUGCAGAGGGGUGAUUUUUCUUCCCGACUCUCUUAUCAGCCAGACGACUCGUCCAUGUGGCAUCUGCUGGUUUUUGCAGCCUUUCGCUAUUCUCGGUUCUGAAGAGAGAGAGAGAGAGAGAGAGAGAGAGAGAGAGAGAGAGAGAGAGAGAGCGCUUUCUGCUGUGGAAAAAUCAAUGUGCUUGUCUCUGACAUAGAUCUUCCACAUUGCAGGGAUAGAUGCCCAAGUGAUGCUUGCAUUGAUCACCCUGAUUCUAUCUCCGCUUGACAGAGAGACCUGAGGUUAAAUAAGAUUAUACAGCUUACUUAGGCAAUUGUUUUCAUAACAAACUUGAUGAUUUCGGAAGGAGGAGAAGGAAAGCCCUUACGUCCCUCCCUCCCCCAAACUAGGACGGUUUCCUGGCAUUUUUGAAUCCAAGGUUCUGUUUGUAGUUUCAACAGUAAAAGGUUUCAAUGUGGCUCUAUUUUGGAGCUCACCAAAUUAGCGUUUUUUGUUUAUUCCUACUUUUAUCUGAGAUUCUGUUUGGCUUGAGUCCCGCUGUCCAUGCAUGUUUGUGAACAGGAAGGAGUGUGUCCGUCGGAGCCUGUCACUAACAGGAGAAGCUGGACUGGCAGACUGCCUUGUACCCCUUUCCUCUGCAUUGCCUGGGAGGUAAAGAACUGCUGUAGCUCCAGCCUCGGGGUCCAGAAAGAGUCCUUGGGACAAUCAGCCAGGGGAUGGCCGCUGGCAUGGUACAUCAAGGAGUUUGACUCCCUCCGGUGUCCUGCCCUUACAGGGUGCUGAAGGAUCCAGAGGAGGCAAGCCUGUUUUGCAUGCUUGUGUCUCUGUUGAACACUGAGGUACACUCCCAAGUCUCUGCAGUGAGAACUUUCACCUCAGCUUUACCUGUGAGAAAGGUAACACCAGGGAAGCACUCGCCUCUGAGAAUCCUGUCCUGAGUAAGCUGGGGUUAAUCUGAAGGCUUUCUGGUUCCCCAAGUGUAGCCUGGAAACAUACAGGUGCUUGAAACAUGUAAACCGUAAACUUCAGUGUUUUAACAGUACAAACGUCAGCCUGAACCAUCGUUGUAUAAUUAUAAAAAUCCCACGUAAGUAUAAAUACCUUAAUGCGGCAGCAGACAGCAGUUUCCUUUAUCUAAAUGCCGGCUUAUUACAGGUCAGCUGCACUUUCCUCAAACACAGUCAUUACGGAGCGAGAGCCUGUCAUUUUUUUUUUUUUUUUAAGCAGACUCUCUUACCCUCCACACGCCUGGCUUUUUCUGGACUGGCACACACUGUGGAGACACUGUGUUGUUUUUCUGUACCCCAGGCCUACAGUGUACAGAUGGACAGGUGGACAGACAGACUGACAGACGGACACGGCACUCAGAGGGACCCUUGAUUUCCUGUCUCUGGGAGCAAUAGAAAACAAAGACAACGCAAACCGUGACAAGCUCACGGCUCACGUCGUGUCAGCUCGAAGUGCAGCUGGGCAUAAUGAGGAAAUCAAGGCAGGAGGAGCAGCUUGUAGCAGCUGGGCACACUGUAGCCACCAUCAAGAAGGAGAAUGAGCCCAGGCUUCCUUCCCCUCAGCUCCCAUUCCGUGUUUUAUACAACCCAUAUCCCGUGCCCCGGGAAUGAAUGGUCCUGCCUACGGUUGAUGGGUCCUCCCACAUCAGUGGGCAAGACGAUGACAGCGAAGGGAAUCCCCCACAGGUAUGCUUAGAGACCCAUCCUCGGGUGAUUUCAGAUUUUCCCAAGCUGAUAGUUAACACACCGUCACACACAGACACCCCUCUGCCAGCCAGCUAAAGCCUUAAGGUCAGCGAAGAGUCAUCACAGCCCAUAGUCUACACAGGCAACAAGACAGGCGUUGACUCACUGCCUCCUUGGACCUGCACCAGUGAUCUGUGCAGGCAGCCGAGGCAUGCUGUCAGAGGAAGAUGUGGAGAUGAUAGGCCAGGCAGUGGCCUCAGCUGCCCGGGUCACUUUCUUCUGGGCCCAGGCUCCCUUGGUUCCUGUGUAUCUCUCUUUUUUUUUUUCCCAGAGGGAGGGAGGUGGCACGUUUUCAAAUGGAGUCUGAGUAGGAGCUCAGUGCCUUGCACAUUCAAGAGGACCAAGAGAACAGAGUUUUACAGACUGAAAACGAGAAGCAAACAGAACAGCGCCUCAUUCUUCAGAGUAAACAGAGCAAAGGCCAGCCGGUGGCAGAUGCAGCCUAGAGCUGGCUCUGUGCAGACAAAGCGCAGAUUAUGAAAACAAGACUCUAUCCACUGAAACCAUUGUCUUUAAUUACCGACCCAGGAGCUCCGUUUAACGCUUCCGUCCUGCACAAAUGUUUCGGGAGAAUGAUGCUCAUAAGUGGGAGUCGGAAAACAAGAUUGUUCCGUGGACUGGGUGGGGGUGGGGUGGGGUGAGGAAGCUGGGUACAGAUUUGUACACCCUUCUCUUGGUCCGCUUGGACAGUUCUUCCUUUAGAGCCCUGCAGAGGCCCCUCCUCUUGGCCUCCCCCACAUCAGUACUUGAUCACUUCUUCCGUGGUUUUAAAAAUCCACACAGUCAUCUUACUGCCGCUGCUGCACAGGCCACCGACGUCAGCUUCUUCUCUUACGCUAACAUUGGGGACAGGAAGUGGGCUCUGCCCAGGACUCAAGUUUGGAAGAUCAAAUAGCAACAGCAAACGUGGACUCUGUGGCCGGGUGCUCCGUCCGUCCCCCUCUCUUCCCACAGCCCGAGCAUACGAUGUGAAUGACUAAAUUGUGAAUGACUGAUGAACAGAUGUGGAAAUGGGCCCAAAUGGUUGCAUUUGGGUUUUAAAAGAGCUAGCCAAAGUCUGUCCUUGAGCCAACCAACUAGUGGAAGGAGAACAGGCCAUCUGUGAGAUGGCUCCUGAGAAACACUUGCAGCCGCAUGCUAGCACUAGCCUUCCCCUGGGCUCAUUGGUGCUUGAGAACCAAGAGGUCCUUCCUGGGGCUGCUGGACUACUCAAAUCUAGCCCUGGUGAGCAUGCGCACGGAAUCCUCAGGUCUAACUCUAUGUCUAACAAGCUGUGAGGUUCCGUUAAAGAUGGAGUAAGGUCUUGCAGGGCUGCUGCUUGUCUUCCCUCGAGACCACCACUGGCCCUCGGAACCCUGGGGCGAGUCUCCUUUCACAGGUUCUAAACAGAACCCAGCACAUAUCUCAACAACCCAGUGGGGUGCUGAGACCGCGGGGCGCUGAGCUACCAUAGAAGGUGCCAGGUUCCUGGAACUCUAACGAUGAAUUCUUGCUUUGGACCCCACCCGGGGUUUUUUUUUAAAGGUGAUACAAGGCACUGAAUAGUUUCUAAGAAACGGUAACGGCCCUGUCUGUGGGUAAAUGUUAAUGGAGAGUUGUUCAUUUGAUGUGGUGUUUGUAAUACUAGUGACCAUUUCUAAGAAUAAGACGGACUUUGGAUGCACUCUUCUGCCGUGGUGGUUAGCACUGCGAUUGGAUCUCCACCAUAGUGGUCAUGGUAUGAGGUUGGGAUCAUAGACAUCUGAGACAUAUUUGGUACAGAAAUUUUUCCUGAUAACUAGACGGUCAUCUCUUUCUUUAUUCUUUUGAUACACAUCUCUUUCUCUCUCUCUCUCUCUCUCUCUCUCUCUCUCUCUCUCUCUCUCUCUCAUACACACACACACACACACACACACACACACACACACUGAGGUUUCCUCUCCCUCCUCACCUCUUCCCCUAUUCACUCCCAAGGAUCACAGAUAAUGACUACGAAUGUAUGUGGCUACAUGUAUGUGACAUGAUUUGUGUGUGGUACUUUGUGAGUAUAUACACCGCACACCCACUGAUAUCUCAUUUCUUUAAACACAUAUUUCUUUUCAUCUCAAUAAAAUAUCUGUCUAAAAAGAUGUGUUUAGGCUGCUGAUCCCAGAGAUUUCUCCCUGGGAAAACAGACAAACAAGAGCCUCUCCGGCCCACAGUGCCAUUUAACUCCUGCAUUCUCAAGCCCGACUCCUUAAACUGUGCAUCAUGAAUCAAACACAAAUGGAAACAUGGCCCUUGCAAACAGGGGACAAAGCAAAAAGCUUUGAACAAGCAACACCCAGACGGUAAUUCACGAUUAUCCAAGUCACAAGUCUGAGGUGAUUCUCACAAUCCCUACCCCUGUAUCCACUUCACUGAAGCCUUGGAUCUAAGGAUCCUGCAUGUGUGUCUUGUGUAGUAAAUGACAUCACACCAUACAAGGCCAGCAAAUGCUCCUGAAAUACCUCAGUUCAGAUGCAGUUCUACCCCAUGCUGUGAGUUAUAUGCUUUGACUGUGUUUUCUGUUUUUAAACAAACAUAACGUUUUAAUUAUGGGAAGUGAAUGCUUUUUAUAUCUUCCUGCUGUCAUGUAAGUAUUGGGUUGGUAGACCUUUGGAUUGGAUUGGAUUAGAAUAUUUGAUUUUUUUUAAACAUAAUUUCUGUUUAUGUUGUUGACUUGAGUUUCAUGAAGAAAUUUGCUCAGUGAAUUUUGGCGUGAGAUUAGGGCAGAUUUUCUAGUAAUUGUUAGGUGGUCCUAACGUACCUCUCCCUUAUCAUGUUACACAUUUAUGAGAAAUAGUGUUGGGAGCAUUGUUGUUUGCAAACAGGAAGUAUCCAUGAACUCAGAAAAGCUUCUAAAUGCUUUAUGUGUCUGGGCGUAGUGACCACAACUUUAAUCCCAGCACUUGGGAGAUUGAGGCAACAAGAUCUCUAUGAAUUUGAGGCCAGCCUGGUCUACAUAGCAAGUUCCAAGCCAGAUGGACCUACACAGUGAGACCCUGUCAAAUAUUCAGCCAACUUUUAAUUCUUUAUGUGAAAACAAACAGGCAAAUCCGUCUCGUUAUUACGAAAAUGUGCUUUCUCACCUUUAAUAAACGGUAAGAGGUAACAAAGACUUGCGUUGGAACAGAUCCCACUAUGACUUCUUGUUAGUGUUUGAUUUUCACACCCACCUUUAUACAACUCUGUAUCUGAGGUCACACUGACGUUUACCAGAUGAAAAGAGGUUGCAGUCGGGGUGUCAUAUGUCAUGGUGCAGACGGCAACACCUCCUGUAUGUGCAUGUAGCGUGUGGCAUGUAGUGUAGAUCAUGAAACCAUAAAAGAGACCAUGAGAAGGGGACAGGAGGUCUCACACAGGGGGGGAGUGACAUGGAUGUAGGAGAGAUGUUGCCAGGAGGAAGAUGGGGCCAGGAGAGGGAACAGAAGGGAGAUCAUCCACAAAGAUAAAGUGUGCAUGGAAAUCCCACAAGGCAAGCACCACUGUGUGUGGUGACUUAAAGGGCCCGGUUUCUAAAACAAGGCAAGAGCCAUAGCUCAUCUGUGCCCUGUCUGUAACUCAGGCUGAACUUAGCAACACAGUCCUGGGACAAGGAGCCUGGGGAGAGUCAUGGCCAUCCCCUCUCCCCUCCCACCAAGCUUUCUUCACUCUCUCUGCUGGCCUGGAGCCCUUUUCCAUUAAUCAGUCCAGUCCUCAUCUGUUCCCGGGACCUGGAGUGGCCCAGAGGAAUUCCAAGAAUUCCUUUAAAGAGAGAACACGAGAUUUCCUGGUAACUCACAGGGGCCCUGCAUACUCAGCCAGGAUUGAGUUAGGAGCUGUGUGUGCACAGGAUUCAAAGGGCAUUCUUGAGCCUUACCCAGGAGUUAUAACUUAGCUUUUCCAGUGGUUGUGUAUUAAGUGGCAUAUGACUUCUUAAGAAAAGGUUGGGCCUUCAAAGUAAAGUUAAUUUUCUCUAGUAAAAACAAAAUGUCAAUGUUUCUAAGUAUUCGAAGCUAUCCACUCUGCCUUUAUCUUCCUUCAGUCUCUCCCAUGCUCCUGUCAACUAGGUUGCAGGAUAACCUAACAGCAGAGCGGGGGUUUCUCUGUGUCCAUCUCCCAGGAGGCCUCAUCCAAGAGGCCCCUAGGAGAGGAGAAGCUGGACUGGGUUCCUGUGUGGCCCGCUUUGGUGUCUACAUGCCUUCGACCACAUCCAUAGGGAGAGAGAAGUCCUCUCUCUAGCCCUUGGCCCUGCCCCUGACUGACAGCUUGUAAUUAAAAGUGUUCAGAAGCUUGGAGCCCUCCACAGGACAAGGGUAGACCUGACAUUUGAAUGUGCCUGGAAUAUGUGGGCUGUGAGCUGUGUGCCUCACGCUCCCUCUGCCCUCUGGCCUGAGUGCCUACUCUGGUAGGCCUUGCCAUGAAGGUGAAGUAAUUUGUUGUGGUCCGGGUGGUAGGAGGGGUGGUAACCUGACUUCCGGUAGGUGGCUGUGCCCUGCUGCACCCCCUCAUUCUGUCGUAGGCCCUUGCUUUGUUCCACUCCUGUGCAGGUCAUAGCAUUACAGCUUCUUCCUGGGUCCCUCACUCCCAUCUGUUGCUCCCCCUGGAUGUUUGGAGGUCUACCAGACCUUUACACUACAAUUGCUGGAUAGUGUAAUCCCUAAAAGACUCAGGUAUUCCUCCCCUCCCCCGCAUCAGCUCGUGCCUUCUUGUCUUUGUGUGGCUUCUCAUUGUUCAUUACAUUCAAGGCAACAAUGCAAAACUUCUUACUUCCAGAGAUCCCUGGUGAAUGUCCUCUGCUCUAGAAAGUACAGCCACAACCGUAUUACUAUUUUCAGAAACUGUGCUGCGGAUUGACUGAUUUGUCUUCUCAAAGUUCAUGUGCUGAAUUGAAGCCUCCCUCCCCCAACCCCCAGUACUGUAUUUAGGAGACAGGAUCUUCUGGGUUAAAGAGCCUUGCCCAGAAGCUAAUUCAAUAAGAUGGGGGCCCUUACUGAAAGAGGGAAGCUUUUACAGGAGCAGAUAUACAGAGGGAAGACAAAAAGGAAGGGAAGCAGCCAGUGAUGGAUCCUCAGCGCUCAGAAGGAGACCGAACUCCUGACACCCCAAGCUUAGAUCUCCGCAGAUCCUUGAGCUGUAAUAGAACCCAGUCUGCAGUAGCUCUUCCGGUGGUUUCUGAAGUUAUUCCGAAGAGCGCAAUAAACAGGGCAAUAAAUAGCAAAGUACCCCUGUGCUAUCUGCCCUUAAAAGCAGAAUGCUUUGACUAGCAUCUGAGUUAGCCCCCCACACACACACACACUUCAUGGGAUCUAUAGAUUGGAGCUGGGGACUGACCCUGCCCAGGAUGAGCACCACUACUGAGACACCAGGGUCUCUCGCGCUUGCUCUCAUUGGUGUGUUACUCUCUUCCUGUCCAGCUCCUUGAAAUACCAACCAUCUGGAUCCCAGCCCUGCGUGUCCCCACUGUGAAUUGUCCUUGUGUCUCAAAUGUCAGCAGCAUCGUCACCACAACGUAAGCUCUCCAAGUCUCUCCGGUCUCCAAAAGCACAAAGGGUGCCGAAGGGAGAAGGUGAUCUCUUGAGGCAAGCCAGGGCCUCAGAUCGGAAACGCACAUACGGCUGUUACUUCUGGCAGCCAGAGGAGUGCAAUCUGAACAAAGCCAGCCUGGUGCUGUGUGCAGUCCUUUCAUGAAUAGAUCUCUGUUCCCAGUGCACAGCCGAGUGUGGCUUAAGCGCCAGCCUGGCUCCCUGUGCUGUGGGUCAGGGGUGGUGGCAGCAGAUUAGUGGGGGCUGGUUCCCAAGGACUGUGUGAGAACGGGACAUUUUAGCUCCCCCCCCCCCCGCACGCCUUCAUCCCUCAGUAGGUAGCUAAGGGUUUUUCCAUUUGGCAGACCGUGUUGGUAAGUAUCUGUAGACACUAUACUGUAGCAAUGUACUGUAGCAAUCUUAACUUGGUAACAGAGGUAGGAUCCUGUAGACAAUGUAGCAAUGGCUUCCCCUUCUGAUCCUCCAGUGGUCUUUAGGAGUGGGUUUUCCUGAGCUACCGUCUCUUUUAGCUGAUAUGCACUGUUUUUCCUGAGGAUCCACCUGUUGUGUGUACAGAUCACCAUACUAAUUUAUUAGGGAAACCACAAUAGGUGUUUAAUGUUUUUAAAUGAUCAAAGAAAGCCACCCCGCCCCGCACCCCUUCCCCUGUUGUUCUGGAAAGUAAAAGGUCUCGCCAAGUCUGAUCUUCAGGCCAGCGAUUGUUCAAAACCCUUCCACCGCUCUUGUGUAUCUGUGGGAUUCUGUCGGGAGAGAUGAGUAAACAUCCGUAGGCCUGCACGGUGAACAGCGUGGUCAUGUGACUCCCUAUUUAGAAGUGUUCCAGCAUAAGAACGUGGAGCCCCCUCCCCCACCCCACUUUUUCCUGCCAACGGCCUGGCUUUACUGUGCAUACCCCUCACUUACACUAUUGUACUUUCCCAAUAGUUUCAGGUGAGAAACUGAAGCUGCCCCAGACCUCAGUGGGCAGAGGGAGAGAGAGCUGCACGGACUGGGACUACCUGAUGGAGGGCGGUGAAUGCUACAGGAGGCAUCACCCCUAGCCUAAGGGCCACCUCUUUACCCACCAAUGCUCCUUUUCACGUUGCUCAACCUGGAUCCUCAGGAUUUAAGACCAGACGGGAUUCACAGCCUCCUGGCCAGUUGAUAGUUUUUACAAGAGACAGACUUCCAGUUGAGGGGACACAUGGACUUGUCCAAGGCCACACUGACGCUGUGGACUUGGGUGUUACCAGCAGAAGCCAAAUGCCAGCAGCAUUUAUAGUAGGCAGCAGUGCUGUACCUGUCGGUUAGAAUAGUAUUGCCGUGUGAAAGACAUUUUCUGUCCUUAUCAUUCGACCCCUGAGAGCCUAGGUCAGAGCCUGGAGCCCAGGGGUUGAGUGAGUGUCCUUAAAGCACCCGGGGAAAAACGUCUUUUGUCUUCAGGAUCACUUUAAAGUGAUUUAAUACUCACUUGAGCAGACAAAUACCCUCAGCCCUUGAACUGUGUGGUGGCCGCGGUGGGGAUGGUGUUUGCUUUCCUUCAGGUGCCUCCAUCUAAAGACUGCAAAGGGUUGCGGCGAGGAAUAUUAGAACCAACGGGGAGAUGGAGCUCCAGAAUCCUCAUGAGUCUUCUCUCCGGGAUGCAGGCCUUGGCAUCGUCCGAGGGGAGCCAUGGUGAGAUGGUAUGAAUCCGGGGCCUGUUAACGAAAUCUUCACUCAACAGCUCUUGGGGAUGAUACUUCGGGCCACUAGGUCCCCCAGUACAGGCAUAAUCCAGUCACAGAUCCGAAGAGAUCAAUCGAGCUUCGCAAAGCUUGUUCAGCUGUCCUGCCUCUGGGAGAAGGCAUGAGAUCCCACCACCCAUAGUGGGUGUGGUCGUCUGCAGAGCCAGUGCCACACGACUGUGGUCUGGGGAGAGUUUGAAAAAGGCAAAUGGAUGGAACUGGAAAAUAUCAUCCUGAGUGAGGUAACCCAAUCAUAAACACACAUGGUAUGCACUCAUUGAUAAGUGGAUAUUAGCCCAAAUGCUCAAAUUACCCUAAAUGCACAGAACACAUGAAACUCAAGAAGGAUGACCAAAAUGUGAAUGCUUCACUCCUUCUUUAAAAGGGGAACAAGAAUAACCUUGGGAGGGAAUAGGGAGGCAAAGUUUAGAACAGAGACUGAAGGAACACCCCUUCAGAGCCUGCCCCACAUGUAGCCCAUACAUAUACAGCCACCCAAUUAGACAAGAUGGAUGAAGCAAAGAAGUGCAGGCUGACAGGAACCAGAUAUAGGUCUCUUCUGCGAGACACAGCCAGAAUACAGCAAAUACAGAGGCGAAUGCCAGCAGCAAACCACUGAACUGAGAAUGGGACCCCCGUUGAAGGAAUCAGAGAAAGGACUGAAAGAGCUUGAAGGGGCUUGAGACCCCAUAUGAACAACAAUGCCAAGCAACCAGAGCUUCUAGGGACUAAGCCACUACCCAAAGACUACACAUGGACUGACCCUGGGCUCCAACCGCAUAGGUAGCAAUGAAUAGCCUAGUAAGAGCACCAGUGGAAGGGGAAGCCCUUGGUCCUGCCAAGACUGAACCCUCAGUGAAUGUGAUUGUUGUGGGGAGGGUGGUAAUGGGGGGAGGGUGGGAAGGGGAACACCCAUAUAGAAGAGGAGGAGGAGGGGCUAGGGAGAUGUUGGCCUGGAAAAGGGGAAAGGGAAUAACAAUUGAAAUGUAAAUAAGAAAUACCCAAUUUAAUAAAGAUGGAGGGAAAAAAAAGAAACACUUUAAAAUUCAAAAAUAAAAAAAAGAAGAAAAGAAAGAAAAAAGAAAAAGAAAGAAAACCUGGGUCAUUAAAAAUAACCAAACAGUAAAACCCAAGUCCAGAGCAUGCAGCUUAGCUCACUUGCACAGCACAGGGGCAUCAUUAGUCUCUCAGCUUAGGGAGGAGACCCUGAGAUAACACCACGCAGUGUGACACCGGGGCCUUGAGUGUCUGGGGUCCUUAGAGCCACACCCAGCAAUAAGCAGGGUUUGAAGGUGACACAGACAGACCUCGAAGAUGUCCUAUACUGUGCUCAGAGUAGCAAGAGGUCCCUGUCCCUGUUCACUCUGUCUUCCUUUCAGUGUUAAAGAAUUUGAGGAAUCCUCUGCGUGGAGAUUGUGAGCUGCCCUCCCUCCGCUCUGCCUCCUGCGUUGAUUAAAAUAACCCAUUUAUGGUUUUGAAAUUCCGAUUUCAUCUACACAAACACGGCUCUGUGGUCUACCGAAAGUGUUCUAAGGACAAAGCUGCCACUUUUCAGCUAUACAUAGGCACUCAUUGUUUUGUUUGUUUUUCCAAGCUAGCGGAAACUGUUUCCCAGAUGAUGUGGGAGCCCUGUCCUGAGGAAUGGAGCAGACCUCUCCAGCAGACCUCAUGCCCUGGCUCCUGUGGACCCUGCUGUAGCCCGCCGGGCCGCAUCUCAAACUCUCCACCUCGGUCUCCCACCUAGUCCUCUGCCUGGGCCUGCUAAUCUCUCCCAAAGUGUUCGCUGAUAAUUUAAAGUGUGAGAACUCCCAGGAGGACUGCAUUUCCAAAGGGGCCUCUGAGAUAGAAAAUGCUCCCAUGAAAGGAGAUGGAGGAGAGAGGGGAGGCUGUUAUUUUUUAUCCUGCUCACAAGCUGAGUUUCAGGCCAUUUCAUUCCCAUCCAGUUAUGGCCCCCACCCACCCACAAAACCCGCCCGCCAUGGACACUGUGGCUCCUUCCAUCCUGAAGGUUCUCGGUACUAUUCCUUCCCUGGGGCGUACAGAAUCCAUCACGGUCAUUCCAGCCUGAAAUCUGGUUUAUCCACUUGUGUCUCAGCUACAAAAGACCUGAUUUCAUCUAAAACAGAAUCUUGGAGCCGGGCUGACGCCACCCUGAUAAACACGAGCGUGGGAAAGACAACCGUGGGCUCUGUGACUGCCCAUGAGGGUAGGCUUCGCUUUCAGAAACAGAAGCCCACUUCUUAGGCUUUGAGCUUAAAAUACUAUUACAACAUCCGUCACGUGUUCGCUCAGAUAUUUGGCCACGCUUUGGGAGGAUCCUCCUGCACACCCGGCUUUCCUCCCAGCGGGUUUACUCUGCCGGAAUCUGCGUCAGUGGCACCUUUGCAACAGAUCACUCUACGUGCAUAUGUGUGUGCUAUGUCAAUGUUGUGAGGACAAUAGCGCCCAGUGAUUGUUCAAAAGUUCCUGGGACAAUUUCUCAAGUCAUCUGACACAGCACAUUGCACAUGCACCUAGGAAUAGAGACACAGCAGCUCCAGUCAGGGAGGUUUCUCUUCCCUGUGUCAUCUUACUUCAGUAUUUAUGACAUCUCAGUCAGGGUGUCAGCACACCACGUAGGGAGCAAGCUCUUUACGGGAUCCUCUUGCUUUCAGGGUGGUGAUGUCCGGCUUGGACUUGGCCAACACCACAGGCAACCCACGUGAUGACCGUGUUCUCUCGAAGGAAGCUUUGCCCCAUGUUUGAGCUAAAGAAGAUAGACCUAAAAGGCCCUCGAGUAGGACUACGGACUACCCCAAGCGAGGGACACACAGCAGCUAAUGUCCGACAGUCCCUGCUAAUUCUUGGUAUUCAUCCCUAUCCCUAGGGGAGAGUCUGUUUGAUAGGAAGCAGAAGUGGUAUCAAGUCCUCUUGAACUUGAAGAACUUUGGUGAAUGAUUGAUGGUUACUAGGCUUUCUUUCAUGGUCAUCCUCAGCAGCAGCAGCUGCAACCGCAUUUCCAUCAUCACCACCUGUGUUAUUAUCACGUCAUCAUCAUCCUUGUCAUCAUUAUCAUUAUGAUCCUCACCACCACCCUCACCAUCCUCACCACCACCCUCACCAUCCUCACCACCACCACCAUCACCAUCAUCCUUACUACCACCAUCACCAUCACUAUCACCAUCAUCAUCUUCUUCACCACCACCAUACUCACCACCACCACCAUCCUUACCACCACCCUUACCAUCCUCACCACCACCACCAUCACCAUCAUCCUUACUACCACCAUCACCACCACUAUCACCAUCAUCAUCUUCUUCACCACCACCACCAUACUCACCACCACCAACACCACCAUCACCACCACUAUCACCAUCAUCAUCUUCUUCACCACCACCAUCCUCACCACCACCAUCACCACCAUCACCACCACCAUCUAUCUCUCCUGCUAGGGAUUAAACUGUCUUGAUAUUUUCUUUUUAUUAAUUACCAUCGGAUUGGUUUUGAAUCAGGGUCUUGUAGAGCCUGACACUUGUCUUGUAGAGCAGCCUCUAACUCUUGACCUGCUUCUGACUCUCCAGUGUCCACCAAGUGUCCACCAAAUGGUGACAUUUCUUCUCUUCCCAUUUUUAUUUCUUCUGUCUUUUCCACCUGAAGAAUACAUUGUGCUGCAGGCUGGGGCACUUCUGUUUCCCAGAAGCAAGAAGGAGGCACCUGUUUGGUGCCGUGUUUUACUGUUGGUGAAAGGAGGGCAGGGGUGCCUAUGGCAGUUUAGGGGGUUACACCCCAAGUUGCCUGCCCACAUUCACAAGCCUUUUGGGACCCCAACUCCCCCAUUUCUGGACCAUUGUCUUCUAAGCCAACUUUGAGGAACGUGUUCAUUUCCCAGUGGAUAUUGGGCUUCCAAUUUAAAACCAAUUUUAAUGAGCAGCUAACCACACACAGAAGCAAAUGGCAUAAAAGACACGCCAUUACCCACUGUUGGCAAUAACCAGCUCUCUUCUCUGCCUGUCCCACUUGGUGUGUUAUCUCCUACUCAGGGUUAAAGUAGGUAAGUGAAGUGCCUGGGAGAACAGGCCAGUCUUGAUGUGUGUGUGUGUGUGUGUGUGUGUGUGUGUGUGUGUGUGUGAGAGAGAGAGAGAGAGAGAGAGAGAGAGAGAGAGAGAGAGAGAGCUCUGUAGAAGGGCUUGUUUUCUAACCAGUAAGACUUCAAGUAGCUCCUCGAAGCAGUACCAUCUGCAGUAUGUCCCCCAAUUCCCACUCUUUGUCUCGCUUUUAAGCUGAAUGACUUCAUGUGUGUAUUGGCAAGAUGUCAGAUGUCUUUAUGCACACAGAAAAAAUGUAGCCCACUCUCUGGAAGUCAUAAUCUCCAGAUGGCUAUCACUGUGGGAUAAAUGGUGCCUGUUCAGCAGUGGUUGGUAGUCACAACUGGUCACUCUGGGGUCACCUGAGGCAAGUCACCAGCCAAUUAUAUGAGGUUAUAAUUUACCCUCCUUUCCUCCUCUUUUCUUUUGUUUGGAGACUAGGUUUCCCUACCUAUCUCAGGGUGGCCUUGAACUUAGGAUCCUCGGCCUCCAUAUCGCACAUGCUGGGAUCACAGGUUGGUUCCUGAAGCCCAGUUCGUUCACUGACUUAUUAAGCCCAUAUUGAACAGUGACCCUAUCAGGCACUGUGGAGGGCACAAGGCCAGUGGGGUCCCUCUUUCCCAGUCUGUGAAGAAUGAGUCAGGUCACGUGAUGGCGUGUGAUGGUUCCUUUCACACGUUGGCACGCUGCAAUUGCAAUGACCCAAGCUGGGAGCUCACCUGAGGGGUUGCCUCGAGUGCUCUCACUGAGGUGGGAAGACCCCUGUCUUAGCUGCUUCUCUAAUGCUAUGAUAAAACACCUUGGCUAAGGCAAUUUACAGAAAACGGUUUAUUUGGGCUUACAGUUCCAGAGGAAUGAGAGUCCAUCACCAUGAAGGCGAGGGAAACCUGGAAGCAGGCAGGGAAGCAGGUGGGCAGACAUGGCAGUAGGACGGUCCACGAGCAGAUUGAUCACACCUGGAACCACGGACAGCAAACACCAAAGUAUCAACUGAGAAUAGCGUGAGGGUUUUAAAACCCCAAAGCCAGCUCCUAGGGACAGGCUUCUUCAGCAAGGCCACAAGUCAUGAGCGUAGAAUCAUUUGUAUUAUCUUGAAGAACAGCUACUUUUCUUUAACCACCAAGCCAUUUCUCCAGUCCCUUAAAAAAACCACGUCUUUAAGACUUCAAAUGCUAGUGUUCCAAGGCCCUGACUGGUGUCUGAGGCAAUGGUUUUUUUUUGUUUUUUUUUUUUUUUUUUUAAAUCUUAUCAACCAGAGAUUUUGAGGUAGGAAGUUCCAAUCUCAGUAUUCUGUUACCGAGGAUGAGGAGACCGGGUAUAGCAUUCAAGCUCGCCGUGCUGUGCUGCACUGAGAGAGACAGAGAAAGCAUGACCUGGUGUCUUUGGGGUCAGCCCUCCACUAGAUACCUGAAGACAGAACCUGCAGAAUUCAGUCAAGAUGAGGUGGAGAGCAACUGAGGCAGGCAGUGGAGGAAACACAAGGUCUCUAAUGAGCCUGUGCUGACAGCAAACUCCCAGCUGAGGCGUGGAGGGCAGUCCUCUCAGACUGCUGGAAGCCAAACUCCCCGCUAGGUCCCAGGCACCCAGCCAACCUCUUCCGGCUAUGUUUCCUCAUCUGUGAAAUGGGGUGUGUGGCCUGCCGCGCUUCCCGGUGCGCGAGGCUCUGGCAUGAAUGCCUGGCAGGCUGCCAGCAGCGUGCAUUUGCUGUUAUUUUUAUACAAGCGAAUUUGAUAACAAGCUAAUUACCGAGAGUCAGCUUCCUGUGAAAUCUUACUUGUCAAGUUCUGCCCUUGAUUCCGUUUAUUCAUUUACUCAGGAUAAAAUACACAUUCUAACUAGCUGUUUCUCCUUCAGGUGUUCAUGAAUAUUCAUCAAGAGCCUGCCACCUAAGGACAGGGGCUGGUGCCACCUGCAGAGCAGCCUCCCUGCCUGACUCUGUGGUGUAGUGUGUGUGUGUGUGUGUGUGUGUGUGUGGUGUGUAUGUAUGUAUGUAUGUGUGUGUAUGCAUGUGUACAUAUGUGUGUGGUAAAUAAUGUGUACACAUGCACAUGUAUAUGUGUGUGCAUGUAUGUGUGUGUGCAGAUGUAUGUGUAUGUAUUAUGUAUAUGUAUGUGUGGUGUGCAUGUAUACGUGUAUGGACUGCCUAGUGUGCAUGUGUGGUGUAUACUGUGUGUGUGUGGUGGAUGUUGUGCAUGCAGUGUGCGUGGCACAUUUUGUGUAUGUAGUGUGUGUGUAUGUGGUAUAUGUGUGAAUAUGGUGUAUAUGUGGUGUGUGUGUACAUGUAUGUGUGUGUAUGGUGUAUAUGUGGUAUAUGAUGUGUGUGUAUAUGUAUGUGUGUGUGGUAUACGGUGUGUGUGAACAUGUAUGUGUGUGUAUGGUGUAUAUGUGGUAUAUGGUGUGUGUGAACAUGUAUGUGUGUGUAUGGUGUGUGUGUAUGGUAUAUGGUGUGUGUGAACAUGUAUGUGUGUGUAUGGUGUGUGUGUGUUGGUAUAUGGUGUGUGUGAACAUGUGUGUAUGUGGCAUGUUGUGUUAUCUUGAACAUCAUUCUCACCAACCAAGGAGGGAAGAGUAGCUGGGUAACAGUGAGGAGAAAUCUACAGUGAAGCUGAAGGGCACAGGGCUCACUUGCUGUGCUGCUGUGGGUUCUGUUCUGCUGGCUGCGCUGGGUUCAGUAGCCGACACUCACAGACUGGCCUCUUUCUCUGGAGAGCAGGGAAGGACAGGUCCUGCUUGUGGCUUCCAUGUGGGAAGGAUGCUACAGUCCACCAGCAUGGCUCCCAUGGUGUUCUCUUCCCAGGGCCCAUAGGACGUGCUGACGUAAGUGUUGUCUUUAUACUAAAUCCCCUAUUUUCUUAAAACUGUGCAGUUUCCAUUCACAUCCCAAGAGGACUGCUGCCUCCUCUUCGGGUUCUAACGAGGGUUUCUGUGGCAGCUGCCAGGCACCCCGCCCCAUUUCUCCUGUGACAAGAAGUACGUGUCUUUGCAUCAGGUUGCAUCAGAUGAUGUCAAAAGGCUGGAGGAAAACAAAGGGCUUACCCAGGGGAGUGAGGCCGUAGAGACCUCUGAGGAGACCCAGGGAGCCCAGGCUGAGUUUCUAGCAGGCACUGCCUCCCACAUUGUAGGCAGUGGCCGCUUAUUUCCCCGUCUAACAAUGCUUUGGAUGUGCCUCAGUAAGCAGAGGUCCUGUGUAGCAUGCACGGAUCCCGUUUCCAUCCCCAGCA